UCAAAAAUUAAUAGGGGUUCGUCAGGUUUACUACUAUCUCAUUAUUCGUCUUCGUAAAUACAUACUGUGAUUUGUUUAAAGAAGUAUCGAGAUGAAAGCUACUUCGAUCGGUAGUUUUCUUUCCUCGGUAAUCGAAUGAGCUAUAAGGUGUAACAUUAAUUUGUCCUAGACAAUAUUAUCUAUUUUUUCAAAGUCGUCGUCGUCCGAAGAUUAACUAACUCGUGCGUAUAUUCAUUCCUUACGAUCAGCUGACUUCCGGAAGUAAUAUAUGUAAGAAGGAGCUGUUAAUAAAAAAAAGGAUGAAUCCUUUAAGGGAAAUAUUUUUACUAGAAAAUAGAAAUUUACUUAAAUCCUAAUAAAUUAUAUAGUCUAUGGUCCGAUGUAUAUAGUUUUAAGUGGUCUCGUAUAAUAUUCAAACGAAAUAAUGUUAAAAUAAUGUCUCGUCUAAUUGAUGAAUUAUGGUAGAUUAUAGGGACGUGAGGGUUCGUAGGUACGAUCAACGCAUUUACGAUUUAUCGAAAUAUUAUUCUUUAUUUAUCUAUACUAUCGUGUAUAUCUGGAUGUAUUUUUUAUGAUUCGAUGAAUAAAACGGCUUCUUCGUUUUCAUAUGAAUUCCUGAUAUGCAUUAAUCUAUACUACGACGAAAUUUCGUCGCAUUAUUGUAAAUAGCUAUUGUCGUUUGCAAGUACAGACUAUACAAUAUGAAUUCCAAAGAAGAUGGAAAGAUACAGGGAAAAUCUGAAAUAAGAUUGGAUGGUGGCUUACAAAAAAGUGAUAAUCAAAAAACUGAACAGGGAAAUAGGUUAUCCAAAGCAACUAAAAUACAAAAUAAAGUAUCAGAUGAGCAGUUGAAAUUGAAUAAUAAUGUUAGUGAGAGUGAUGUAAAGAGUGUAUUACCUUCCAAAUCUUCAAUAGUGGUUUCUAAUGGAACAAGUUUGAUGCAAGCUACUACAUCGGGUUGCAGUCAUUCCUUGGAACAAGUUACUGUUUCUGAUACACCAAAUGCAAAUUCAUCUUCCACUUUUGUAAAUACUACAAGUGUCAUAUCGCAUAUCGCAAAUACUAACUCUGCAAGUCAAUUGAAACAUAAGACCAUUGUAUAUGCAAAUACUCUUAACUUGCUUAAGCCUCAAAUGCACCUCAAUCUUUCUUCCAAUCAGUUGAAUUGUCAUCCGACUAAUACAGUUACAUCAGUUUCUUAUAGUUCUAUCAAUGCAUCAAAUGCAAAUACACACUUGAAUACAUCUAUAUCAAAUUCGUCCACUAUCUCACAGCAUUUAUCUAGUAAUAGAUCGAACGAUGAUACAGAUAUGAAAAAUAAUGUUGAUUAUGCAUCAGAAAUAGAAAAAUGUCCUUCUAAAGUUUCCUGCAGUUCAGAUUCCAGCCCAGAAGCUGAUCAUUUAUGUACCUCAAAAUCUUAUACGCCUGCUAGCGUAUUAAAUAAUAUUGGAGGAAGUAUAGGUUCAACUAGUCAAGGAACUUGUUGUUUUCUAAGACCUAAUAUCAAUGGAAAUAGAGAAGUUGCCGGACCAAGUGGUUUACAAAGAUGUUUUCAAAAAGAUACAAUUGACAGAAGAGAUUCUAGUUCCGGAAAUGAAGGAGAUAUGUCAGACGGAGAAGAUUAUUGUAUUUAUACGUAUAAAGGGAAUGACAAUAUAGUUAAUUUGGAUCAGAAAGAGGAAGUAAAUCAAGGCCAAGUUGUAGAACAUGAAAUCGGACAGUGUCAUAGUGGUAGAUCUAGUCCAGAGAUGGACUUUCUAGAAAUGGACUUUGAUCCUGGACCUUCUUGCGAGCAGGAUACAGGAGACAGCGAUUUGGCUUCUAUAAAUGAAGACAUACAAAAUAUAACAUUAGAUAAUGCAGAGGCAGAUCCUGUUUUAAAUGAUUUGAGUAGCGGUAAAGUUGUAUCCAGACAAGGAAUAGCAACUGUACCCCAACAUAACGCUCAAACCGGACAGAAUGUUACCCAUACAGCCAUUCAACAAUGUUCUAAUAGUCGAUCAACCAGCGAGCAAAGUUCCAAACAAAUUUAUUCAUCUUCUUGGAUGCCAAGUACUAGCAGUGGAACUGGAUGCCAUUCCAAUCUUCAUGGAAGGACAGAAUCUAUUGGCUUCCACAGAAACUUAGGAUGUCCUCUACGUGAAUCUUAUGGAUAUCAUAAUACAAGUGGUGACUUAAUAUCUCCUGGAGAUAAUCGAGAUUCUGACUCAGAGUUAUGGUCAGAGACCUCUACUGUAUCCAUUCCAGGAAACUCAAAUUUAAAUUCAAGAAAAGUAAAUCUUAGCUCUACCCUUUAUCAUCGAAUGAUGGCAAAAAAAUUAAUGCUUAAUAAACAAACUGCUUUUAAUCAGAGUGGCGAUUCAAACUUGGAAAAUGAACUAUGUAAUGAACAAAUUGAUGGACUUCCACCGGUUGAAAAAAUAAUGUUGUGGAGCGAGCAAGAGGCUACGGUUAAACAAGUCACUCAAAUCGCAACUUCUGCAUGUGGUGCUACUUCUGCCAUCAAUGCUUUGUUGGCCUUGGAUGUUUCCUUUUCUUUAGAAGUAUUGGUAAAAGCUGUAAGUACUAGAUUAAGAGAUCUUGGUUCACCACUUCCACAAUAUUUAAUGAGUAGAUCGUUGGCGGGUUCAACUCAUAAAGACAUAGCAAAAGGAAUAUCAUUAUCGACAAGUGGAGCAGUCAUUACAAAAUUUUUUUCCUUUUAUCCUGAAAGAAAAGUUUCACUUUCACAUUGGUUACAUUAUUGGAUUUCUAAAGGAGCUGCACCUAUAGCUACAUUAAAUCUACAACAUUGUGGUGAAGGUUCUGAUAUUCCAGAUGCGUGGCAUCAUCAAAUGAUAUUUGGCGUAGGACAAGCAGGCAUAUAUUUAACGAAUCCUUUACAAUGUUUACCAGAACAGUUUGGCAUCAGCUUGUUAGCCCUAGUAUUUUAUUAGUGAGACGAGCUGAUGUGUUGGCACGUUGGAAUGUAAAUACUGAUUUAACACUUCUUGCAAAGAUGGAUCAGAAAUGGAGGAAACUUAAUGUUCUAGGACAAGUUGUAAAUAUGAUACGAGAAGCAAUGAAUCAGAGACAACAGCCUAAUGUUACAACUAUUGGUACAACUCAUAUUCGUAUACCUGCAUCUUACCAAGCAGGCAUUACAUUAGUUAUGUGUGCUGAUUCUGCAGCUGCUACUGAAUUGUUACAUGCUGAACAAUUACCAUUACUCUAGUCUUGUUGAUCAAAAUUAAUAAAACCAGGCUGCCCUAA